ensembl:lncRNA
AUAAAAUGUAAAUUACCUCUUUGUUCAGUUUGUUGUUGAGUUUGUUCAGGUCAGUCCAGUUUCCCAGUGGCACAGGGACAGAACAGGAGGGAGAGACAGAAAAAGAUCAUCGUCUAUCCAAUAAGAUAGAGGAUGAUCUUUUUUUUAAAAUUCAGGUGCACCUUUGAAGUCUGUGAGAAUAGUUUGCAGCCUUGUCUUACUAGUCAUUUCUGCACAGACGCCACGAAAUGCACAGACGCGGGCACGCACAACGCGAAGCGCACGGUCAAUUUAGGGCAGGCUUUUGCUGAGAAAGAGCAGCGUUCCAAAAAGCGGAAGCAGGGCUCAUCGUGCAAACAGCACAUUAUUAUCGUAACUGCUGCAAAUGUUAGAUAUAUAUAGGGCUUUGGAGCGUGAUGUCACAGGGGUGGGCGUGGAAAGGAUUUUGGCCCGAUCCGCCAUUUUCGGGGUCUAGCAAGUGAAAAGGGAGCGAAGGCACACACAACAGCCAUGGUUCGUAUUUGCUGUGUGGUCGGCUGCAAUGUUCGAUCGCACGACCGGCAAGAGAAUAAGCUUGAAAAGGGUUUAUCUUUUCAUUCUUUCCCAACCUGGAAGCAACAUGAGGCAGCUCGUGUAUCGAUGUUACCAAACGAAGGCGUCUAGCCUGGAUAGCAGCUGUGAGACGAGCUGAUAUCCAGUUCUCUUCCAUCUCCAAAUAUCUGUUGGUGCUCCAGACAUUUUCAUUCCGCAAACCAGCCUAUGAAAUGGAUGAAACAUCGUGACUGGGUUCCAGCGCUACAUAACGGACCUGCUUCAAACAUACCACCAUGCCAAUCAGAUUACUUCUUCCAUGAGGGUGAAGAGGUGACCCUUCUGGAUAAGAUGGUGAAGGUUUGCUGCGUUUGUUGAACAGUGUGGUAGUAAAACCAGGGAAAAUGAAACUUGCUCCUGUUAAAUAUUCUUAAGUCUUUUGCUGUAUAAAUAGUGGGGUUUUUUUUUUUUUUUCAAAAGAUACAGUAAAUAAUGUUAGUAGUGUGUGAUAUCAUGUAAACACUGUCAUGAUUUUAUGUAAACAUUUUGUCUUUUAUAAACUAUAAAUGACAUGGAUUCUACACUGUAACUGAUGUGAUGUUCUAUAAAGUGGUUUUAAUAAUAAAAAAGAGGCAAAAAUUA